AAACAAAUUUGUUUGUCUUAGUGAUUGGCUGAACAAGAAGUAGGACUAAGUGGACUUGUAGGCUCUGAAGUUUUACAGUGUUCUGUUUUUGAGUGCAGUUAUGUAACAAAAAAAAAUCUAUAUUUGGUAGUUGCACUUUCACCACAAAGAGACUGCACUACAGUGCUUGCAUGGGUUGGA